rnacentral:lncRNA from 1 species
UGAGGCUGAUGUUUUUCUUCCAUUCAGGCCAUCUACUGAUUGGAUGAGGCCCACCAGCAUUCUGAAAGCAGACAAGGAAUCUGAGACCUGGCUGGGAGAAGAGGACUUGCCUAAAGUUAUCCCACACAGCAAAUUAGUUGGAAAACCAGGAUAGUUGAGUAAAUAUCCUGGAGCCCAGCCAAGUAAUGAAGCCAGAAUUCAGAAAGCUGUUUUGGCUAGAUCUUGGAUUUUUACAAUAAAGGGUCUGUAAGGGAUAUUUGUGAAAAAUGUUGACACUUGACGGCUGUCCUGAUUCAUUCAGCUACCUAGGUUAUCUCUGCCUCUCUUUGACUUGUGUUUUGUCUUUUAAGAUGGCAGUCUUGCUCUUUUGCCUGGGCUGGUCUUGAACUCCUGGGCUCAAGCAGUUUUCCUGCUUUAGCCUCCUGAGUAGCUGGGGCUACAGGAGGACAUCACUGUGCCCAGCUCUCUCCGUAUCUUUGACUAGGUUAUUUUACAACCCCAUACGAUAGAAAUGAAGUUAUAGAAAACUGAUAGGAAUACAAAUAAUUAUUAUCCAUGGAAAUGCAAAUUGGAUCUAAUGGAAUGAAACUGAUUUUUUUUCCAGCAGAUAGUGACCACCUUUGUAUCCUUUUGUAAAUUCAUUUCAGCAUUCCAUAUUUGACUAAAAAUGUGUGACACUCCCAAUUUGCUUUUGAAUUCAUUGUAAUAUCUACCAAUUCCCUCAUUAAUUAAUGAGUUAAAUAAAGCCUUUGGCAUGUAUUUAUUUUGUAUCUAUAGGAGAGUCAUGAGUAUAUCUUCUUUUAAAAGGUAUUCUUCAGUAGGUCUUAGGGUGCACAAUACUUACAUCUUAUUUUCUCAUUCUACACUGUUCCCACACCUCACCCAGAAUAAAUGUAAUCUCCUGUGAGCUUCUGAACAUCAUGAAGAAUAACAGCUCAUUUUGUAAAGUCAUUUAGUAUUCGCCAAGCACCUUCACUUCGAUCAUCUCAUUUGAUUCCUACAAUCAGCCUGGG